GCGCUGAUAGAAUAGUGGGCCAGCACCCCGCCCGGAAGGCAGGGAGUGCGGGUUCGAGUCCCGCUCGGCGCG
rnacentral:tRNA from 1 species